CUCAGCCCGACCAGAUCGCCAACCGCCGUCCUCUCUAAUGCUGCUCCAAACCGUCUUCACCCGAGCCCUAUAGCAAGCCUCCACAGCCGUUCCUCUGUGCGUCGCCCACGAAUCGACUAGCGUCGCUCCAGACGCGUCUGCACCCAAGCCACUGCCGCCACCGCUGCUCCUCUCCUUCAAUCGACCGGAUCUACACCGGAUUCCUCCUGUCGUCACCGUCGUUGCUUUUGCCGUCAUCAGAUUUAUCAACUUGGAUAAGAUUUCUGUUGUUUGUGGUUGUUUUCAGUUGAUUCUUGACUGGCCAUUUACUUUUGGCACCAAUCGAUUGAGGCCUUUAUGUGUCAACUUUGGAUUCAUGUUCUUGAAGGUAUUAAGGUGUUGUUAGGUGAAGUUAGAAUUGUUUUAGCAAAUUUGGUGUGCCUCAUAUCACACCUUUGGUGAGUUUACCCAGAUUUUUUGGCAGUACUUGGAGUAUGUGUGAUUAGGCCUUGCUUUUAAUUUUAAAACUUGGUUGCGUUCUUAUGUCAGGGUCUUACUUGGAGUUGCUGGUUUCGUUGGUUGUCUGAUAUUAUCUGCGGAUUUUCAAUUUAGGGUGGAUUCAAAGCCUUCCAAGAGUUGUAAGAGGGUUAAUUACUUGGAUUAAAUUGUGACCAAAUUUGAGGUAAAGGUAGAGAUGCACCAGGGAUGGACAAGCGGAAUUCACGAUCAAGCCACUGGGACUGGUUUUAUGCUUCCGCUCAUAAGACUUAGAUUUCCUUUCAUGUUUUACUUAAUUUUCAGUUUUGAUAUUUGAAACCUACAAUUAAGGAUUGUUUUCGGACUUAUUUAUUAACAUUUAUGAUUUAUUGGUACCUUAUUGUUGUUUUUAAUAUUUGCAUUUAAUAAAGGACUUUUGAACUUACCUUAUUUAUUUAGCAUUUAUUUCACCAUAAAAGAGUGUCGUUUUAAGUUCCAUACAUGCAUGUAUUUAUUAACAGCCUAACUUAAGUACUAGGGGGUCGGAUCGUUACACAAGCCAAAAGUUCGAUGUACAAUUUGCAAGAGAGAAGGACAUAACAGACGUACUUGUCCACAACGUACAUUAGGUGCU